GUGCCAGCAGCCGCGGUAAUACGUAGGUGGCAAGCGUUGUCCGGAUUUAUUGGGUUUAAAGGGUGCGUAGGCGGUCUAUUAAGUCAGCGGUGAAAUACUCCAGCUUAACUGGAGGGGUGCCAUUGAUACUGAUGGACUUGAGUCAAGUCGAGGUAGGCGGAAUUGACGGUGUAGCGGUGAAAUGCUUAGAUAUCGUCAAGAACACCAAUAGUGAAGACAGCUUACUGGGCUUAAACUGACGCUGAGGCACGAAAGUGUGGGGAUCAAACAGGAUUAGAUACCCUGGUAGUCC
rnacentral:rRNA from 1 species